UAGGGAAUCUUCGGCAAUGGACGGAAGUCUGACCGAGCAACGCCGCGUGUGUGAAGAAGGUUUUCGGAUCGUAAAGCUCUGUUGUUAGAGAAGAACGUUGGUAGGAGUGGAAAAUCUACCAAGUGACGGUAACUAACCAGAAAGGGACGGCUAACUACGUGCCAGCAGCCGCGGUAAUACGUAGGUCCCGAGCGUUGUCUGGCUUUAUUGGGCGUAAAGUGUGCGCAGGCGGGUCUUUAAGUCUGAAAAUAAAGGCAGUGGAUUAACCAAUGUACGGUUUGGAAUCGGGGGGACUUGAGUGCAGAAGGGGGGAGUGGAAUUCCGUGUGUAGCGGUGAAAUGCGGAGAUAUAGGGAGGAACACCGGUGGCGAAAGCGGCUCUGUGGUCUGUAACUGACGCUGAGGCUCGAAAGCGUGGGGAGCAAACAGG
rnacentral:rRNA from 1 species